rnacentral:lncRNA from 1 species
AUUUUCAACCCACAGUGCCAAACCAAACAAAACUUUAUCAAAUAGGAGGAUAAGAUAAAGAUAUUUUCAGGCAUGCAAAAAUGCCUUUAUUUCUCAAACAUCCUUUCUGAAGCAGCUACUGAAGAAUUUCUUUUUAUGAAAGAAAGAAACAACAACAACAAAGGCAGACAUGAGACCAAGAAAUACAGCCCAUCAUCCGGAUGGCAGCCACAGAAAGUAAAGCUCAAUCCACAGUUCAGAAAUUCUAAUUUGAAAAGAGAAAAAUACACACAAAGUAUACAAUGACUCAUCCAAAAAAGUAAAAAGCAGUCUUUUGACAAAGUUGGAGAAAUAAAAUCAAUUUACCUACUUCUAACACUAUAUUUCCUCCACUAUCACCUCUUUCUUGUUCCAACUCUUCUUGAAGGCAACACUACAUUGAACUGUAGAAGAUGCAAGAUGUUUCUUCAAAUAUGAAAAAAUCUUGGUAUUUCCGAACCAGGAAAUACUGAUAGCUCAUUGUUCUCUCAAGUUAUUUGAGCCUUUUUCAUUUAUCUUCCGUAUAUUUUUCUGGUCUCCAACAUCGCCAUGUGAGACCAGGGAUCACAAUUCAUCCUUCCUUGUAACUCAAAAAGUUCUCGACAUAUGAUAAGUGCUCAACAGCUGUGUAACCUACAUGAUAUUGACUGUGUCGCAAUUAAAGCAUAAUUCACCAGAGUUGCCCCUUCAAGUGUGAAGAUUCUUAAUGGAGCUACAUAAGAAGCUAACAAAGACCUGUCCAACAGGAGUAAACUAAUCAAGUGCAGCCCCCGAAUUCUGAAGAACACUAGAAGAAAACAGACUUUCCCUAAAUAUCACGUGAUAGAGGCUCAUUACGUAAAGACUAUACUUUGAGCAAAUACUAGACAAAGACUAUGAAAUGUCUGCAAUUCUGAUUAGGGUCCUAGAACAAGAAGUCAACAAUCCAGAACAGAUGGCAUGAGAAAUACUAAAGAAACUACUCCAGGCCCUAAUGCGUUGGUCUUACCUGGCUGUCCGCAGGACUUGGGGGCAGUGGACGCCGAGGGCGUAACGCCAACUAAGCAGCAUGCCACAGAAUCAUGUUUUCCUGAGAUUUGUGGUUUUCUGGAAUCGAAAGGAAACACUCACAAGAAAGAGGUGGUCUGAAAUAAGAACUAAGAGGACAAAGGGCACAUUCAAGAAAAGAAUCCCUUAAAAACUGCUCCGCAUUUGGAUAUGUUUUCAUUCACCAACUUGUGCAAUAGAAUCUUUAAGAGGCCAGAAACAGAAGCACCUCAGUUCUUUCACAGAAGACCAAUAAGGUCCUGCAUCCCUUUGCAUCUUCCUCUCCCUUGCUUAAGCCACCCUAAUAAAGAAGUGAAUUUCCUCUC